GAUGAACGCUGGCGGCGUGCUUAACACAUGCAAGUCGAACGAAGCAUUUAAGACAGAUUACUUCGGUUUGAAGUCUUUUAUGACUGAGUGGCGGACGGGUGAGUAACGCGUGGGUAACCUGCCUCAUACAGGGGGAUAGCAGCUGGAAACGGCUGGUAAUACCGCAUAAGCGCACAGUACCACAUGGUACAGUGUGAAAAACUCCGGUGGUAUGAGAUGGACCCGCGUCUGAUUAGCUUGUUGGCGGGGUAACGGCCCACCAAGGCGACGAUCAGUAGCCGACCUGAGAGGGUGACCGGCCACAUUGGGACUGAGACACGGCCCAGACUCCUACGGGAGGCAGCAGUAGGGAAUAUUGCACAAUGGAGGAAACUCUGAUGCAGCGGCGCCGCGUGAGUGAAGAAGUAGUUCGCUAUGUAAAGCUCUAUGAGCAGGGAAGAUAGUGACGGUACCUGACAAAGAAGCUCCGGCUAAAUACGUG
rnacentral:rRNA from 1 species